rnacentral:ncRNA from 1 species
AAUGGUUCGCACUUGCUGCGAUUAAAAGGGAACCGGGUGUGAAUCCCGGACAGUCCCGCUGCUGUAAGUUUCUAUAAUGCUUUGGACAGUGUGCCACUGGAAUAUUUUCCGGGAAGGCGUCCGAAAACGAAACAAGUCAGAAGACCUGCCAUUC